rnacentral:snoRNA from 2 species
CUCAGCGAUGCGGAGAUCACCUCCCACAUCCUCGUCGGCCUCGACAUUGACUACAACCCUGUGGUGUCGGCGCUUGCUGCACGGAUCGAGCCGGUCACGGUUCAGGAGCUGUAUAGUCAACUUCUAAGCUUCGAUG